rnacentral:lncRNA from 1 species
CCCAUUGCAAGAAAAUAUUUAGACGAACGACAUAAAAAGUUCACAAGGGAAUAAAUAAAACAUACAUAUAGUUCAAACUAAAUGUAUUCCAUAACAAAUUGUGAUUAUAAAACAUUAGAAGAAAAUUACAAUUUAAUUUUAACUUUCCGAUCCCUCAUUGCUUGAUACCGAUUGAUGAUGUCAUUAUCUUUGACUUGCAAAAAGAACUGACGCUCAAUGAAGGUUACCAAACAAUCAUUCAAGUACUGAUCUCCCAUCCUAUUUCUCAACUUGUUCUUCACAUGAUUCAUUAUUGAAAACACUCUCUCUACGGUAGCAGUUGCUACAGGUAACACUAGCACAAAUUUGAGAAGUCUGUACACAAGAUCAUGUUUGUUGUGCUUAUUUGUCUAAACCAAAUGUCAUUUUUGACUUCUUCAUGUCAACUGUGUGAGAUUGAAAUGCAUCCACUAGCAAUUUUGAUACAUUGAGCAGUCAAUGUACACAG